UCAGAGCUAGCUGUUCGCUUCUCAUCUUCUUACCUCACUGUGACAUCAUUAUUACAUACCCCCAUGCCAGAAUUCUACUAUUUUUAGUUUUGGAUGUCAAAGUGACCGUCUGGUUAUGGUCUGAUUGAGAAUGGCAAAAGAUUUUUUGUGGCUUGGCAUUAAGAUUAUGGUCUGAUGGUAUAAUGAAAGUGCGUAUCUG
rnacentral:lncRNA from 1 species